rnacentral:lncRNA from 1 species
AGGAGGAGGAGGUGGUGGUGGCUGCCGCGGCCGCCAAGGAGUCCCUUGCUGAACGCGGACCGCGGAGUGGCGGGCGGCGCGCGCGCGCGUGCCCGAGAGGUGGCUGUUAGAGAAGUGGAGCGGCGGUCGCGGGGGGAGGAGGAGGAGGGACUGAGCGGCGGCGGCCCCCGCGUCCCGGUGCCUCUAUGGGGGAAGCAGACAAUGGAUUAUGAUUUCAAGGCGAAGCUGGCGGCGGAGCGGGAGCGGGUGGAGGAUUUGUUUGAGUAUGAAGGGUGCAAAGUGGGACGCGGCACCUACGGGCACGUCUACAAGGCGAGGCGGAAAGAUGGGUAAGAGCACGGGCGGGGGGAGUGGGCUCGCCCUGGUGCUCGCCCUGAAUGCGGCUGGGCG